rnacentral:rRNA from 1 species
GACGAACGCUGGCGGCGUGCUUAACACAUGCAAGUCGAACGAAGAGCGAUGGAAGCUUGCUUCUAUCAAUCUUAGUGGCGAACGGGUGGGUAACGCGUAAUCAACCUGCCCUUCAGAGGGGGACAACAGUUGGAAACGACUGCUAAUACCGCAUACGAUCUAAUCUCGGCAUCGAGGAUAGAUGAAAGGUGGCCUCUACAUGUAAGCUAUCACUGAAGGAGGGGAUUGCGUCUGAUUAGCUAGUUGGAGGGGUAACGGCCCACCAAGGCGAUGAUCAGUAGCCGGUCUGAGAGGAUGAACGGCCACAUUGGGACUGAGACACGGCCCAGACUCCUACGGGAGGCAGCAGUGGGGAAUCUUCCGCAAUGGACGAAAGUCUGACGGAGCAACGCCGCGUGAGUGAUGACGGCCUUCGGGUUGUAAAGCUCUGUUAAUCGGGACGAAAGGCCUUCUUGCGAAUAGUGAGAAGGAUUGACGGUACCGGAAUAGAAAGCCACGGCUAACUACGUG